AGCUUUUCACAGUGGCAGUAUUGUAGCCAAUGAGGUUUAUCCAAGAUGCAAUUAUUGCUAAUUGAAAACUUUUCCUAAAACAUGUCUUGUAAAUAUUUUGCCUGUAAGUGUACCACAUAUGUGCAGUACCAAUGGAGGU